CUAUCGCUAAAACUCUCUUUUCUCAUCUUCCAGAAGCUCAGAUCUGAACUCUGACCCCUCGAUUACUCGCUUUUCAAGCUCCAAUGGCGGUAGCACAAUAGCCAAGCCUAUAUGUUCAAUCUGCUACGAAGAUCUCAAUCCAAUCAUCGAAGCCCUUCAAUCAAUCUCCAUUUGCGGCCAUGUCUUCCACGAGCUCUGCCUUCAACAAUGUAUCGAGUACUGUUCAAAUGUGAAGAAAAAAUGAUGUCCUGUAUGCAAGCAGGCCUUUUCGGAGGCCAAUGUUAGUCGGCUUUAUUUCCAAUCAGUAGGCAACCUCUAUCAGAAAUUGAUCAAUUGCGAAGAUAAUCCAGGGGAGUUGCAUAGGGAAAUGGAGAAAUUGGAAGGGAAGGUUUUAGGACUCAGAUCGGCGAUAGAGCGUCAUCAGAAAGAUGUCGAAGAACUCAAUGAGGAGGAACUUGAUAGAUCAACUUUGGAGUGCGUAAGGCUGCAGGAAAGGAAUAUGGUAUUGGCCAAAGAGCUUGCAACGUUGAAACUUUCAAGAAUUGCACAGCAAGGAGGUGAAAUCGUCAUCUGAUUCAUAUUUGAAAGGUCUCAUGAUAUUAAAGGUGAUCUUGGGAACAGUUUGAUGCUUAAAAUACUUACAAGUUUCCCUGAACAAAGUGCUGAAGUGUUUAGUUGCAUGGUUACCCAACAGGUUUUUACAUAUUUAUGUGAGAUUACUAUUACUAUCCCGUGGAGAAUCUUAUCAGCUAAAUUCUGAGUGAUCUGCCUCAUUAUGUUUUAUCAUGUGCGAUCUUCAAAUUUUCUAGUCUGAUACUUAUUGGAGCUUGUUUUAAUUCUAAAUUGCUAUUGUUGUUCAUUCACAUUUGUGUUUUGUGUGAAGUGCAAAAGUCAUGUUCUCGAUAUCCCUGUUGAAGCAGAUUAUUUACAGAAAUUUCUAUUAUUUUUACCAAAAGUAGAUAAAAAUGGAGACACUACCUGAAUAGCGUGGUUCUUAGCAUCUAUAUAACCCUUAAAGCACAGGGUUGUAACACUGAUAUCUGUAUGUUGUGAGAACAGCCUGAGAAAAUGUUUAUGGAUUAAGAUCAUCAUCUGCAAGGCUACAAUGUGGAUACUAAGAGAAGCAACUAGAAGCCUGGAAUAGAUGGUCUUCACAUAGCAAAAGGACAAAAGAAAUACCUAAAAAGAGUCGAAAGACAGAA